rnacentral:rRNA from 1 species
CACUCCUACGGGAGGCAGCAGUGGGGAAUUUUGGACAAUGGGCGAAAGCCUGAUCCAGCAAUGCCGCGUGCAGGAUGAAGGCCUUCGGGUUGUAAACUGCUUUUGUACGGAACGAAAAAGCUCCUUCUAAUACAGGGGGCCCAUGACGGUACCGUAAGAAUAAGCACCGGCUAACUACGUGCCAGCAGCCGCGGUAAUACGUAGGGUGCGAGCGUUAAUCGGAAUUACUGGGCGUAAAGCGUGCGCAGGCGGUUAUGUAAGACAGAUGGGAAAUCCCCGGGCUCAACCUGGGAACUGCAUUUGUGACUGCAUGGCUAGAGUACGGUAGAGGGGGAUGGAAUUCCGCGUGUAGCAGUGAAAUGCGUAGAUAUGCGGAGGAACACCGAUGGCGAAGGCAAUCCCCUGGACCUGUACUGACGCUCAUGCACGAAAGCGUGGGGAGCAAACAGGAUUAGAAACCCCUGUAGUCCCAUG